rnacentral:lncRNA from 1 species
GCUACAGCUGCAAAUUCUAGUAUCUCUGGUGCAGAUCUUGGAGGUUUGUGGAUGCACAAAGAAUCAAUGAAGGGUACAAGUUCUUGUUCUCCUCAAGGGCCUCUCCAAUUCGCUACACAAUCUGGGGAAACGACAUCCACAACAGAAGGUGACAACAUGAUAGAUGAUGAUGUAAAAUCGGACUUAUAACUCUGGAAUGUCACAUUCAAAACAAAAACAUGGAAAAGGUGAUGUGUAGAUGUUUUCUCACCGUGAAUUUUGCAGAUAAAAUUAGAGGAGUUUCACAUCUACUCAAGAACAACACAUGAUUACAUAAAAGAGGAUGGAUCUUCGGAGAGAGGCUUUUGAAAUUUUGAAGGACCAGUUUUCCUUCC